rnacentral:tRNA from 1 species
GCAGUGGUGGUUCAGUGGUAGAAUUCCUGCCUUUCAUGUGAGAGACCUGGGUUCAAUUCUUGGCCAGUGCA